GCCCGGAUGGUCUAGCGGUAAGACACCCUUCAGUCCAGGCUCCACCCGAAUCUGCUCUAACAAAUAACCAGGUAUGAUUCUCGCUUUGGGUAUACCAUAUAUGCGAGAGGUCCCCGGUUCGAUCCCGGGUUCGGGCC
rnacentral:tRNA from 1 species